rnacentral:rRNA from 1 species
UACGUAGGGCGCAAGCGUUGUCCGGAAUUAUUGGGCGUAAAGAGCUCGUAGGCGGCUUGUCACGUCGGAUGUGGAAGCCCGGGGCUUAACUCCGGGUCUGCAUUCGAUACGGGCAGGCUAGAGUUCGGUAGGGGAGAUCGGAAUUCCUGGUGUAGCGGUGAAAUGCGCAGAUAUCAGGAGGAACACCGGUGGCGAAGGCGGAUCUCUGGGCCGAUACUGACGCUGAGGAGCGAAAGCGUGGGGAGCGAACAGG